rnacentral:rRNA from 1 species
UUUUAUGGAGAGUUUGAUCCUGGCUCAGGAUGAACGCUGGCGGCGUGCCUAAUACAUGCAAGUCGAGCGAACGGAUGAGAAGCUUGCUUCUCUGAUGUUAGCGGCGGACGGGUGAGUAACACGUGGAUAACCUACCUAUAAGACUGGGAUAACUUCGGGAAACCGGAGCUAAUACCGGAUAAUAUUUUGAACCGCAUGGUUCAAAAGUGAAAGACGGUCUUGCUGUCACUUAUAGAUGGAUCCGCGCUGCAUUAGCUAGUUGGUAAGGUAACGGCUUACCAAGGCAACGAUGCAUAGCCGACCUGAGAGGGUGAUCGGCCACACUGGAACUGAGACACGGUCCAGACUCCUACGGGAGGCAGCAGUAGGGAAUCUUCCGCAAUGGGCGAAAGCCUGACGGAGCAACGCCGCGUGAGUGAUGAAGGUCUUCGGAUCGUAAAACUCUGUUAUUAGGGAAGAACAUAUGUGUAAGUAACUGUGCACAUCUUGACGGU